AUGAGAACCGGUUGGCUAUGGAGGGCUCACCUCUGCGCCGCUUGCUCUCCGUCGGUCGCCAUGUCUGCGGUGGUGGGAUGGAUCGUCGCCGAGCCUUCUUGGCCUGAGCUGAAGAAUGAGGAAUUUCAGCAAGAGAUGCAGAUAGUGAAAGGACCUGGAUCUUCCUCCUCGGAGCUACAAUCUCCAGUGUAGAGAUGGGUGCUUCUGGAUGAAAUGAAAGCUGUUGACUACUGGCCUCCUGUCAUUGGAACCAUCAAGCUCUUAUCAAGCUUAAGGUCAUAAACUGUAUACCAAAACUGGAGAAACUCUUUUUUGGGUGUGAAGAUUUUGAUACCUAUGAGAUUAAUCAAGCAUAGUGCCAUAUGCCUUACAUGUAGAUUCUGGUCUGCUUUAAAAAUUUAUAUCAAGGGUUGGGUGAGUACUUUUUGUUUUAUAAAUAAGCAUGGGACUCGUGCAGGCAUGUGCACAUUUCAAAUA